GCGUCGGUAAUGCAACGGUUAGCAUACACUCCUGGAAAGAAUGAGACCUGGGUUCAAGUCCCGGCUGACGCA